rnacentral:rRNA from 1 species
UGAUGGGCUUGAGUGCAGGAGAGGGAAGUGGAAUUCUUGGUGUAGCAGUGAAAUGCGUAGAGAUCAAGAGGAACACUCGUGGCGAAAGCGAGCUACUGGACAAUAACUGACGCUGAGGCUCGAAGGCUAGGGUAGCGAAAGGGAUUAGAUACCCCUGUAGUCCUAGCAGUAAACGGUGUGCGCUUGGUGUGAAGGGAUUCGACCCCCCUUGUGCCGGAGCUAACGCGUUAAGCGCACCGCCUGGGAAGCACGGUCGCAAGACUAAAACUCAAAGAAAUUGACGGGGACCCGCACAAGCGGUGGAGUAUGUGGCUUAAUUCGAUGCAACGCGAAGAACCUUACCUAGGCUUGACAUGCAUCUCUAAGCGCGUGAAAGCGCGUGACCCUUCGGGGGAUUUGCACAGGUGCUGCAUGGCCGUCGUCAGCUCGUGUCGUGAGAUGUUGGGUUAAGUCCCGCAACGAGCGCAACCCUUGUGUUUAGUUACCAGCGAGUUAUGUCGGGGACUCUAGACAGACUGCCCAGAUCAACUGGGAGGAAGGUGGGGACGACGUCAGGUCAGUAUGGCCCUUACGCCUAGGGCUGCACACGUACUACGAUGCCCAGCACAAUGAGAACCGAGACCGCGAGGUGGAGGAAAUCUAAAAAACUGGGCUCAGUUCGGAUUGGAGGCUGCAACUCGCCUCCAUGAAGAUGGAAUCGCUAGUAAUGGCGCAUCAGCUACGGCGCCGUGAAUACGUUCCCGGGUCUUGUACACACCGCCCGUCACAUCAUGGAAGCCGGUCGCACCCGAAGUGCUUGCGCCAACCGCAAGGAGGCAGAGCCCUAAGGUGUAGCUGGUAACUGGGAUGAAGUCGUAACAAGGUAACC